GACGAACGCUGGCGGCGUGCCUAAUACAUGCAAGUCGAACGCAGUGGGGACGGGUGAGUCACACGUGGGUAACCUCCCAUCAGAGGGGAUAACCCUUGGAAACAGGUGCUAAACCGAUACUGAUUGAUGUACCCGCGGUGCAUUCGCUAGUGGGUGAGGUAACGGCUCACCAAGGCCACGAUGCAUAGCCGAACGGAGAGGGGGAUCGGCCACACUGGGACUGAAAACCGGACCAGAAUCCUACGGGAGGCAGAAGUAGGGAAUCUUCGGCAAUGGACGAAAGUCGGACCGAGCAACGCCGCGUGAGUGAAGAAGGUUUUCGGAUCGUAAAACUCUGUUGUUAGAGAAGCGGUAUCUAACCAGAAAGCCACGGCUAACGACGUGCCAGCAGCCGCGGUAAUAC
rnacentral:rRNA from 1 species